GAUGAACGCUAGCUACAGGCUUAACACAUGCAAGUCGAGGGGUAGCAGGGUAGCAAUACCGCUGACGACCGGCGGACGGGUGAGUAAUAGGUAGGAGACCUACCUCAUACAGGGGGAUAGCAUAGAGAAAUCUGUGGUAAUACCCCAUGAGGUUAUAUGAAUAGAGGCAUAUAAUCAAAGCAUAAGCGAUUAUGCGGUAUGAGAGGGGCCUACUGACCAUUAGCUAGUUGGUGAGGUAAGGGCUCACCAAGGCGAAGAUGGUUAGGGGUUUUGAGAGAGAGACCCCCCACAUUGGAACUGAGAGACGGUCCAGACUCCUACGGGAGGCAGCAGUAGGGAAUAUUGGGCAAUGGGCGAAAGCCUGACCCAGCCAUGCCGCGUGAAGGAAGACGGCCUUAUGGGUUGUAAACUUCUUUACUACGCGAAUAGAGGUUAGUACGAGAUACUAAUAGGAAGGUAGUGUAGUAAAAGCACCGGCUAACUCCGUGCCAGCAGCCGCGGUAA
rnacentral:rRNA from 1 species